GACGGGUGAGUAACACGUGGGAACGUACCCUUUGGUUCGGAACAACUCCGGGAAACUGGAGCUAAUACCGGAUACGCCCUUUUGGGGAAAGGUUUACCGCCGAAGGAUCGGCCCGCGUCUGAUUAGCUAGUUGGUGGGGUAACGGCCUACCAAGGCGACGAUCAGUAGCUGGUCUGAGAGGAUGAUCAGCCACACUGGGACUGAGACACGGCCCAGACUCCUACGGGAGGCAGCAGUGGGGAAUAUUGGACAAUGGGCGCAAGCCUGAUCCAGCCAUGCCGCGUGAGUGAUGAAGGCCUUAGGGUUGUAAAGCUCUUUUGUCCGGGACGAUAAUGACGGUACCGGAAGAAUAAGCCCCGGCUAACUUCGUGCCAGCAGCCGCGGUAAU
rnacentral:rRNA from 1 species